CCCUUAGAUGUCCUGGGCCGCACGCGCGCUACUCUGAGUGUCUGAGAUACGAGUCUGCCUGGUCCGGCAAGGUCUAGGUAAUCGCUAAAAGACACAUCAUGCUUGGGAUAGAUUAUUGCAAAUAUUAAUCUUGAACGAGGAAUUCCUAGUAAGCGCAAGUCAACAGCUUGCGUUGAUUACGUCCCUGCCCUUUGUACACACCGCCCGUCGCUACUACUGAUUGGAUGUUUAAGCGAGGUUCUCGAACUGCUAGCGACUUAGCUUCGGUGAGGUCGCAGUGUGGGAAGUGAACCUAGCUUUGGUGUCUAGAGGAAGUAAAAGUCGUAACA
rnacentral:rRNA from 1 species